rnacentral:rRNA from 1 species
GACGAGCGCUGGCGGCGUGCUUAACACAUGCAAGUCGAACGGAAAGGCCCUGCUUUUGUGGGGUGCUCGAGUGGCGAACGGGUGAGUAACACGUGAGUAACCUGCCCUUGACUUUGGGAUAACUUCAGGAAACUGGGGCUAAUACCGGAUAGGAGCUCCUGCUGCAUGGUGGGGGUUGGAGAGUUUCGGCGGUUGGGGAUGGACUCGCGGCUUAUCAGCUUGUUGGUGGGGUAGUGGCUUACCAAGGCUUUGACGGGUAGCCGGCCUGAGAGGGUGACCGGCCACAUUGGGACUGAGAUACGGCCCAGACUCCUACGGGAGGCAGCAGUGGGGAAUAUUGCACAAUGGGCGGAAGCCUGAUGCAGCAACGCCGCGUGCGGGAUGACGGCCUUCGGGUUGUAAACCGCUUUCGCCUGUGACGAAGCGUGAGUGACGGUAAUGGGUAAAGAAGCACCGGCUAACUACGUG